AUGGCAGCUCACGCCACCGCCGCCGCCGCCUCGCCUCUUCCGCCGCCAUCGGAGUCGACGGCUGCCUUCGAUACGAAGCCGCCACCUAGUCCGCCGCCGCCGCCGCCGCUUUCGGCCGACGCGCCGCCAAAGAAGCGGAAGCUGGAGGAGCUGGGGUUUCACGACUCGCCCUACUACAGGAUCAGAGAAGCCGUCGCCAGCCUCCGCGGCCGCUUCCUUCAGGUUUGCCAAGCUACUGAUUCCCAGAAGAAAGAUGCUGCUCUUGAGAUCCUGAAAGAGAUAAAAGUUGUCAUGGAAUUAUCCAAGAAAAUGCGGCUUGAUAUCUCUGCUGCUGCUGAGCCUGUUAAACCAUCGGACAUACCUGCAGUUAGAGAUGUCAAGAUCAAGCCCGCAGGAAAAGUUCCAUCUGGAGGGAAGAAUCAAGUGCCCCAGAUAGGCCAGGAUACAGGCGAGAAGGUACCACUCAAGCCUGUAAGCUCGCAGACUGCUUCCGUGGGGAUUCAUCGAGAAGCCAAUCCAAAUGAGACGGCAAACCAUGGCAAUCAACUGCUGGGCGGGCGCUUACAAGGGUCUUAUGUCGUUGGUGGAUCUCCCAUGGGCUGGAAUUUUCUCAUGUGGCCUGGAGGCAAAGCAGUCUACUAUGGCUUGACCAAAGCAGAGUGGUUGGCACGUCAAGCUGCAGAGUGA
rnacentral:rRNA from 1 species